AUUAGUAUAGGAAAGAGUAGCAGGAAAACCCUCCUCGUCGACAUCCACAUCUGAUCAACUGGCCGAGGCACUCCACAGUUGUCCAAGAUUUAUUCAUUGAUUCAUUUUUCCUCUCAAAGCGGAUCCGCUCUCUUCAAAUUAAAUACGGAAGAAAUGAGUAUAUAUUUUUUUUAAAGAAAUUUGUUGGGUAUAGGAAUUGAGCCAGAUAAGAUUCUAAUGUAUCUGGCUCUGGUUUGUAAGAUUUUAGAGCAAUUUAUUUCUUGUAUUUGAGAUUCUUGUUUUGAUCAAGAGAAAUGAGAACGAGGGACAGUCCUUUAAAACUUGUCAUGAGAUUUUCUUAAGUCUCUCUGAUUCUAUUCUUGAAGGUUUGUAAUUUGGCACAGUGAAACUGAUUUCUGGCUGCUUGCUUAUGAUUGUUGCUGCUAUCCUAAAAAAGAUUUAUCACUGGAAAAGGAAUCAAAUUCUAAAGUUGGGAUUUCACAAUCUGAUGUAGAACAAGUUCUUCUAAUUUGGUAAAUGAUAGCCAGGAAGGAGAGAGUGCUGGAGAGGGUGACUUCUUCCUGGAUUUUGCUUCUUAGGAACAUCCAGUGUGAAUGGAUACCAUAUGAGUGCAGAUUUUAUAUAAUAUGGAUUAUUUGCAGCUUCGAUCAUGGCCAGGCAAUGACAUUUCUUAGUGGUCUGGUCUUGUUCUGGCUGUUUAUAUUGUUUGGAGCUUUAGAAAUUCACAAAAGGUUGGGUUUUUAUAUUGGUCUGAUCAACUAUAUGUGUCUUGCUAUAAACGAUUCAACGGAUUUUGUUUCAUUGUGGAAGUGAGAUGCAAAGAUUGGAGUUUUUCAAUUUUACUUUGAUGAAUAUGUUGAUGAAU